rnacentral:rRNA from 1 species
GAAGGCUGAAAUUCGCCUUCAUGAAGCUGGAAUUGCUAGUAAUGGCAGGUCAGCAUACUGCCGUGAAUACGUUCCCGGGCCUUGUACACACCGCCCGUCACACCAUGAGAGUUGGGAAUACCCGAAGCCUGUGAGCUAACUUAUAGAGGCAGCAGUCGAAGGUAGAAUCAAUGAUUGGGGUGAAGUCGUAACAAGGUAUC